AUACGGAGGGUCCGAGCGUUAUUCGGAAUCAUUAGGUUUAAAGGGUCCGUAGGCGGGAAUCUAAGUCAGUGGUGAAAUCUUGCAGCUCAACUGUAAAAUUGCCAUUGAUACUGGAUUUCUUGAAUUAGUGUGAAGUGGUUAGAACGUGUAGUGUAGCGGUGAAAUGCAUAGAUAUUACACAGAAUACCAAUUGCGAAGGCAGAUCACUAACACUAUAUUGACGCUAAGGGACGAAAGCGUGGGGAGCGAACAGGAUUAGAAACCCCGGUAGUCC
rnacentral:rRNA from 1 species